AUACAGAGGGUGCAAGCGUUAAUCGGAAUUACUGGGCGUAAAGCGCGCGUAGGCGGUUUAAUCAGUCGGAUGUGAAAGCCCCGGGCUCAACCUGGGAACUGCAUUCGAUACUGUUAAGCUAGAGUAUGGUAGAGGGAAGUGGAAUUCCAGGUGUAGCGGUGAAAUGCGUAGAUAUCUGGAGGAACAUCAGUGGCGAAGGCGACUUCCUGGACCAAUACUGACGCUGCGGUGCGAAAGCGUGGGGAGCAAACAGGAUUAGAAACCCUAGUAGUCC
rnacentral:rRNA from 1 species